UCUGAACUGCCUCUUCCCUCCCCUCUCGUAUCUGCCUCUGCUUCCACCAACCGGCCUCUUCUUCCGAAGAUAGGACACAAAAAUGCUGGAGUAACUCAGCGGGACAGGCAACAUCUCCUCCUUUCACAUUGCCACUUCUUUCUUCGCCCUUCAGUCUGCCUCCUAUUUCUGCUGCGACUCCUUUCUCUCUCUCUCUCUCUCCAUCCGAUUCACCUCUUCCCUCUUAACUGCCUGGUACUCGAUCUUCCUCCAGGGCCGCCUCCCUCUGCUGUGCGGCCCACACGGAGUUUUCCUGACCACAGGUCGUGAGGCCCAGGGUCGCCCGCCGCAAAUACGAUCCGGACGGAGCCUGAGAUUGAAAAUGGACGCUUCCCCAAAGAUGUGCUACACGUGGAGGUCAUCAACACACGGAAGCCAACAGGAAGAUCAAAGCUUCACCACGAGGAUAUGAUUAAAAGAGAUAUGACGUAUGUUAAAAUUGGCACUGACAACUGGGAAACUGCUGCUGAGAAGCACCGCGGAAAGUGUCCUAUCGGAUGCACCACAACUUGAUUUGACAACGGCUCUGCUCAAGACCACAAGAAAUUGCUUAGAGUUAUGGAUGUCAUCUAGUCCAUCACACAAACCAGCCUCUCCUCAUUAACUCCAUCUACACCUCAGGAAAGCAGCCAACAUAAUCAAGGACCACUUGCAUCCCUAUACUUCCUUCGUCGCCCCUCUUCUGUUGGCCUGAAGAUACAAAAGCUUGAAAACAUGUACCACCAGAUUCAAGAACAGCUUCUUUCCCACUAUUAUCAAAUUACUGUACAGCCCUCCUAUAAGCUAAGGGUGCAUUGCUGAUCUCCCAAUCUACCUCAUUGCGGCUCUUGCACUCAUUUCUCUAUAUCCACUUUAUCUGUAGCCAUAGUGUUUAUAACGCUAUAUUUUGUACCCUGGUAUUUUUGUCUUUGCACUACCUGUUAUACUGGCAUUUGGCUAAUUGUGUCCAGGGGA